AGAGUUUGAUCCUGGCUCAGGAUGAACGCUGGCGGCGUGCCUAACACAUGCAAGUCGAGCGGAGAUUAAGAAGUUUACUUUUGAUUCUUAGCGGCGGACGGGUGAGUAACGCGUGGGCAACCUACCCUGUACAGGGGGAUAACAAUGGGAAACCAUUGCUAAUACCCCAUAACGCCUUAGAGGGGCAUCCCUUAAAGGUCAAAGAACUUCGGUACAGGAUGGGCCCGCGUCUGAUUAGCUAGUUGGUGAGGUAAUGGCUCACCAAGGCGACGAUCAGUAGCCGGCCUGAGAGGGUGAACGGCCACACUGGAACUGAGACACGGUCCAGACUCCUACGGGAGGCAGCAGUGGGGAAUAUUGCACAAUGGGCGAAAGCCUGAUGCAGCAACGCCGCGUGAGCGAUGAAGGCCUUCGGGUCGUAAAGCUCUGUCCUAAGGGAAGAUAAUGACGGUACCUUAGGAGGAAGCCCCGGCUAACUACGUGCCAGCAGCCGCGGUAAUACGUAGGGGGCAAGCGUUAUCCGGAAUCAUUGGGCGUAAAGGGUGCGUAGGCUGCCCUAUAGGUCAGAGGUCAAAGGCUACGGCUCAACCGUAGUAAGCCUUUGAAACUGUAGGGCUUGAGUGCAGGAGAGGAGAGUGGAAUUCCUAGUGUAGCGGUGAAAUGCGUAGAUAUUAGGAGGAACACCAGUGGCGAAGGCGACUCUCUGGACUGCAACUGACGCUGAGGCACGAAAGCGUGGGUAGCGAACAGGAUUAGAUACCCUGGUAGUCCACGCCGUAAACGAUGAGUGCUAGGUGUUGGGGGUAUCGACCCCCCCUGUGCCGGAGUUAACGCAAUAAGCACUCCGCCUGGGGAGUACGGCCGCAAGGUUGAAACUCAAAGGAAUUGACGGGGGCCCGCACAAGCAGCGGAGCAUGUGGUUUAAUUCGAAGCAACGCGUAGAACCUUACCAGGGCUUGACAUGUAGCGAAUCCUGCAGAGAUGCGGGAGUGCCCUUCGGGGAGCGCUAACACAGGUGGUGCAUGGUUGUCGUCAGCUCGUGUCGUGAGAUGUUGGGUUAAGUCCCGCAACGAGCGCAACCCCUAUUGUAUGUUGCCAUCAGGUAAAGCUGGGCACUCAUGCGAGACUGCCGGUGACAAACCGGAGGAAGGUGGGGAUGACGUCAAAUCAUCAUGCCCCUUAUGUCCUGGGCGACACACGUGCUACAAUGGCCGUCACAGCGCGAACCGAGCCCGCGAGGGGGAGGAAACCGCGAAAGGCGGUCGUAGUUCGGAUCGCAGGCUGCAACUCGCCUGCGUGAAGCCGGAGUUGCUAGUAAUCGCGGAUCAGAACGCCGCGGUGAAUACGUUCCCGGGCCUUGUACACACCGCCC
rnacentral:rRNA from 1 species